GACAGAGGUCCCGAGCGUUAGGCGGAAUCACUGGGCUUAAAGCGUGUGUAGGCGGAUUUGUAAGUACCUUGUGAAAUCCCACGGCUUAACCGUGGAACUGCUCGGUAUACUGCUUAUCUUGGGCCACUUAGGGGUUACCGGAACAAACGGUGGAGCGGUGAAAUGCGUAGAUAUCGUUUGGAACGCCAAUGGUGAAAACAGGUAACUGGGAGUGUGCCGACGCUGAGACACGAAAGCCAGGGGAGCGAACGGG
rnacentral:rRNA from 1 species